rnacentral:rRNA from 1 species
GAUCAUGGCUCAGGGUAAACGCUGGCGGCGCACAUAAGACAUGCAAGUCGAACGGACUUAAUCGAAAUAUUUAUAUUUUGAAGCGGUUAGUGGCGGACUGGUGAGUAACGCGUAAGGAACCUGCCUAUUAGAGGGUGAAUAACAGUGAGAAAUCAUUGCUAAUACCGCAUAUGCCAUAGAUAUCACAUGAUAACAGUGGGAAAGGAGCAAUCCGCUAAUAGAUGGCCUUGCG